rnacentral:rRNA from 1 species
GACGAACGCUGGCGGCGUGCUUAACACAUGCAAGUCGAGCGGUAAGGCCUUUCGGGGUACACGAGCGGCGAACGGGUGAGUAACACGUGGGUGAUCUGCCCUGCACUUCGGGAUAAGCCCGGGAAACUGGGUCUAAUACCGGAUAUGACCUCCUAUCGCAUGGUGGGUGGGGGAAAGAUUUAUCGGUGCAGGAUGGGCCCGCGGCCUAUCAGCUUGUUGGUGGGGUAAUGGCCUACCAAGGCGACGACGGGUAGCCGACCUGAGAGGGUGACCGGCCACACUGGGACUGAGACACGGCCCAGACUCCUACGGGAGGCAGCAGUGGGGAAUAUUGCACAAUGGGCGAGAGCCUGAUGCAGCGACGCCGCGUGAGGGAUGACGGCCUUCGGGUUGUAAACCUCUUUCAGCAGGGACGAAGCGCAAGUGACGGUACCUGCAGAAGAAGCACCGGCUAACUACGUG